GCACAACAUUGACCGAGGCUGUCUUUACUGGACAGGCGGCGGGUAAGGACGUGGCUCCGCUUGUCCGUAAUAUUCCAAAACAUUUGAAGCCUAUCAUAAUAUCAACCUGAAAAAACAUCUCAUUAUUACAAAUGUCAACCGAGGUAAACAGAACCCACAGCGGCAACUGGAGUGUGAUGAGUGAAACUGCCUUAGCUAAGAACUUUCCGCUGCACCGGGCGUGUCGUGAUGGGGAUGUGGCGGCACUCACCGCUCUACUGCAGCAGGACGCCACGCACCGCCACCUCACUCUCGAGGACACCUACUAUGGCUGGACACCCACACACUGGGCUGCCUACUUCGGCAAGCUGGAGUGCCUGAAGGUGCUGGUGAAGAGCAGUGGAAGUGUGCAUGCAGGAAUGACAACAUCCAGAUUCACCCAGACCCCAGCACACAUUGCAGCAUUUGCUGGUCAUCCUCAUUGUCUUCUGUGGCUGCUCCAGACAGGACUAAAUGUCAAUACACAGGACUAUCUUGGAGAGACAUCACUCCAUAAGGCAGCGCGGACAGGGUCUAUGGAGUGUGUCACCGUCUUGUUAGGCAGUAAGGUUCAGAUUGGAAUUUUGAACAACAAUGGUCAGACAGCAGCCCAACUUGCAAAUGCCUGUGGCUACAGUGACUUAGCAAACUACUUACUGCAGGCAGAAGGAAAACAAGGCAGUGCUGAGCACAAUGGUUUCAUCAGUCGUAGUGUGCCAAGCCAUGGCCUUAAUGGAGGAGUCUUCCCACACAGCAUUGAAAUGGGACCGCUCAAUGGAACUCAAAAGGCAGACACCCCCAAUAGUGGCUUCUUAUCUUCAACUAAUCACAUGAGUGGAAAUGGUUCUGUCAAUGGUAGCAAUUCUACCUUUACUUCUUCCAAUGGUUAUUAUGGCUUUCAGCCAACAAAUAGUCCUACAAAUGAGAGUAUGAAUGGCCAUGGAAAUAUUGCUUCCAAGCCUCAUAAUCAAGAAUCUGAAGACUGUGAAAUGGAAACAGAUGCAAAUCCAGUUGAAACUCAGAAUGAAAAAGACAAUGCCAUAGAACCUGUUUUGAACAAUUACAUGAAAUCCCCUCAGAAUGGAUUUUGUAAUGGAAAUAUUCCUAAAGCCAUGCCUACAUAUACAAAUGACAGCAGACAUAAUGACUCCUGUGAAGUUGGCAAUGGCCACAGUCCCAAGAUGAAUUUUGUUAGUGCAAGUCCUGUUAACCAGACAAGCUUUGUACAUAAGACUCUUCCUCCAGUGGAACAAGACAUCACUUUGAAUGAUGGAGUGUCCAAAAAUUAUAUUCCUGUUGCUGGUUGCAAGAGAUCAAGAGAAGAUGUAUAUGUUCCAGAAAUGAAGAGGAUGAAAACUGAUGGCUCACAGUGUCCUCAACCUUUAAUCAAGACUCUCACAAAAUCACCACCCAGUUUACCCUGCCACAUUAGACCUCCAUUUUCUGAUAUAACAAAUCAUUCACCUGAUCCAUUUGGGGGACAUUUGAGGAAUGCAUCCUACAGUUAUACAGAAAAUAAAAGCUGUAGGCAAGGAUAUAAUGAAGAAGAAACAAACACUGAAGUGGAGAUAACUAUGGAAGAUUCAGAAAAUGAUGUGCAGGACAGCAACAUAGAACUAACCAGAACACAAGCUCAUGAUGAAGAAACUGUUGAGCUCUGUCAGGAGAUCCUUCGAGAAACUCAUGGCUGUGAACCUUACUUGUUUUUUUCAUGAGCAAAAAUUAAAAGCUCUGAUUAAUGAAAAUUAAACAAAUAUUGCAGCUGUAUGUGUAGUUAAGGUACUGUAUUCAUGUUUUUUGUCAUUAACAAUAUAGCAAAUGAAUGUAGCUUCAGCAGCAUGAAUUGCUUAACUACUUAAUACUGCUUUAUUUUGUGACAUGCUGGAGUAGUGGAACUUUGCUGUAUGAUAGUGACAGUAAAGCUUCAUUUUGUAAACAUUGUCUCAACAAUUGGAAGGAAAUGUAUUUUAUGCAAUAGAUAUUUUCCAUCCCCAAGAGCAAUUUUGACCACUGCUUUGACCCUUUUGUGGGACUGGCAUUUCAGUGUUCAUUUUUUUUUAUUGGAUUUUUGUUGCCCUUGGCCAGUGUCCUUCCUACAUAAAAAAAAAAAAAAAAUUACAUACACAAUAUGUGGAGAAUGUAAUUUGGUAUGUACUAAACAGUGGCACAGCCAAGGUGGUUGAGGCACAAAGAUAUGUAGCCUACUCAGUGACAGUGUGAUACUCCAAAGGAUCUUCACUAAGAUUUGUAAAUCUGACCAAAUAUAAUAUUCCCAAGUUAGUGGAACAACAGAAGUCAUAUUAUAAUUUACUACACAAUAAAAGCAGCAGUUAAUGUGAUUUGCCACAUACUGGAUGUGUAAUGGGUCUUUUUUUUUCUUUUUUUCCUUAGUAAUUAUGUACUAAAUGACACACAAGAGUAGUCUAGUUGUGUAGUAGUUAACAUAUUUAGCUCCAAACUGAGAGGAUUUUGACUCACUUCAUGGGCUGAAAGAGACAAUUUGAACAUUACCUAUCUUACUAAACCUAUAUUUUGUAAUGAUAUACAGUAUCUGAUUCAAAUACAAGUUCAUGUAGCCUAAUUAAUGGCUGAAAUCAGUGAUACAGAUACUGGCUUACAUGCAAUGCAGUGAUGAUAAUGGAUACCCUGAAAAUUUUAUGGAUUAAACUUAUGUUGGUUAAAAAAAAAAAAAAAGCUGAAGAUACAUCAUGAAAGAAUGCAAGAGACUGACUAUCUGCUCUUUUGGUAUGUUAUCUGGACAAAAUGUUCCAUUUUGUCAUUGGAAGAUGCACAUUACAAUGCCCUGCACCAUUACAAGAUGGCCACCAUUGGCCUUAGUUUGAAUACACAUCCAAGUCAUCAUCAGCCUAUGGCUGCAACACUCAAUUUCCUUAUAUUUGAAUAUCAACAUGAACACACAAACUUUUCAGCCAUGAAUGAUUUAAUUUAACUGACCAAGGGCAACAAAAAUCCAAUAAAAUAAAAAAAAUGCCCACUGAAAUGCCAGUCCCAUAAAAAGGGUCCAAAGCAGUAGUCAAAAAUUGAAGGAUAAGUGUCUUGAAACCUCCCUCUUGAAGGAAUUCAAGUCAUAGGAAGGUGGAAAUACAGAAGCAAGCAGGGAGUUCCAGAGUUUACCAGAGAAAGGGAUGAGUGAUUCAGAAUACUGGUUAACUCUUGUGCAGCGAGGCCACAGGAGGAGGGGAGGCAUGCAGUUAGCAAGAUCAGAAGAGCAGUUAGCAUGAAAAUAGCGGUAGAAGACAGCUAGAGAUGCAACAUUGCAGCGGUGAGAGAGAGGCUGAAGACAGUCAGUUAGAGGAGACGAGUUGAUGAGACGAAAAGAUUUUGAUUCCACCCUGUCUAGAAGAGCAGUAUAAGUGGAACCCCCCCAGACAUGUGAAGCAUACUUCAUACAUGGACGGAUAAGGCCCUUGUACAGAGUUAGCAGCUGGAGGGGUGAGAAAAACUGGCGGAGACGUCUCAGAACGCCUAACUUCAUAGAAGCUAUUUUAGCUAGAGAUGAGAUGUGAAGUUUCCAGUUCAGAUUAUAAGUAAAUGACAGACCGAGGAUGUUCAGUGUAGAAGAGGGGGACAGUUGAGUGUCAUUGAAAAAGAGGGAAUAGUUGUCUGGAAGGUUGUGUCGAGUUGAUAGAUGGAGGAAUUGAGUUUUUGAGGCAUUGAACAAUACCAAGUUUGCUCUGCCCCAAUCAGAAAUUUUAGAAAGAUCAGCAGAAGUCAAGUGUUCUGUGGCUUCCCUGCAUGAAAUGUUUACUUCCUGAAGGGUUGGACGUCUAUGAAAAGAUGUGGAAAUGUGCAGGGUGGUAUCAUCAGCGUAGGAGUGGAUAGGACAAGAAGUUUGGUUUAGAUAAUUAAUAAAUAAUAAGAAGAGAGUGGGUGACAGGACAGAACCCUGAGGAACACCACUGUUAAUAGAUUUAGGAGAAGAACAGUGACCGUCUACCACAGCAGCAAUAGAACGGUCAGAAAGGAAACUUGAGAUGAAGUUACAGAGAGAAGGAUAGAAGUCGUAGGAGGGUAAUGAUCUAUGCCUGUCAGAAAUACCACUCAUCAUUAUGACAGCUAUCACAACACAAUGGACAUCAUAUUCACAGUAAAAUGGUCAGCAACAAGCACAAAAGAGUAUAUCCUCUUUGAAAAAGGAUGGAACAUACUCUCAAAAUGAGUGUUCCUAGACAAGUUUGACAUGGAAAGGCAAAUUGUAAGCCAACCAAAAAUCUGGCUUCAGCUUCUGAACAAUGAAUAUUGAAUUUUCUCGCCAUUUAAAAUGUGACUGGAGACGCCCCCUCCCACAUCCCUCAGUACAAGACAGCACACACCACAGAGUAAUGGUAGCCCACACAAGAGUAAAAGGUGAAAAACCAUGUGACAAGAAAGGCUGAAAUAUACACUCAUAAUGCUGCUGAAGCAAGCAUUCUCCUAUUUUAUCACUUGUUCUGUUUGCAAAUCUCCAGUCUCUCUCUAUCAUCUCAGAAAGAUGAGUCAGUGACUAAAAAAAAGUAAAGUGUUAUGUAUGCAUAUAAAGUACAAAUCUCUGACAUGAGACCAGUGACAGCAUUAAUGACAUCCAAAACUGUCUGUGUUUAAUUACUGUGAUGGCUUUUACCACCACAUGAUUUUCUUGUAUGAUUAGUAUUUCCCACUUAAAUUACCAUCCUUUCAUCACUGUGAGUUGAAAGAGUAAGUGAUUAGAAUAUUUAGCCUAGAACAUUAUGGGAAUGAAGAUUCUAUCUGAAAACAUAGUGUUUGUUACUUCUUGCUUGUCAUCCAUGAACAUUGAUGUUUGUCAUCAAUUGCAAAAUUAUAUGAAAUGUGAAUUGAGGUGCAAUCCAAAAGCUCCCAGACUGUCUGCACAGGUAAUGGUGUUGACCCAAGAUACUAGGGAGCAUUAAACAUCCUCAUGCAGUGUGCCGAGUGAAACAGUGACAGAUGAGCUCAUUUUCUUCCAUGGCCAAUUUUUGUGAAUUGGUAUUUCUCAUAUACUUCUUUUCUUCUUUUUAGUAGAAUGGCAGACUUAAAGGAGUUGCAUGUCUUUUCAAAUUUUGCUUCAAACUUGCCAAAUCUGUGACGCAGACCCACAAGGUGCUUCAGCAGGCUUCUGGUGAUAAUGCAAUGAGCAAAAUUCAGGUGUUUCAGUAAUUCUCACAUUUCAAACAUAGACAAACAUUGCAGAUGUCAGUUGUUCUGAUUGUCCAUCAAGCAGCAGAACAGAGAAAACAUUUAAGAGCAUGAGACCUUCAGUGAGGACUAAUGCCAAACAAUUAACAAUAUUUCCAGUAUUGCUGGCCUAUUCCUUGAGUCAUGCCAAUACAUUCUCAUGGAAAAACUCAACACAAAGCAGAUUGCUGCCAAAUUUGUGCUCUGCCUAUUGAUGCUACACUAAAGGCAACAUCAGCUGACUAUGUGCAGAGAUCUCCAGCAGUGUAUCUAAUUUAUCAAAACUUUUCCAAGGUUUCCACUGGCAAUCAAAGACAAGUCUAGAGCUAUGACCUGGAAACCAAGCAGCAGUCAUCCUUAUGGAAGAGUCAAAGUUUACAUCAACCAAAGAAAGUGAGGCAGGUCAAGACUAAAGUCAUGUUUAUCUGCUUUUUCAACAAGGAGUUCCUUCCUAUGGGCUACCUGUGAAGAAGCUGCAACAGCCCCCCAGCCAGGUUCAGGCCCCUACUACCAUGACAGUCUCUUCCUCCAUGGUGGACCACUUUUUAACUGUCAAAAUGGAGGAUGGUUAUGAGGCGAUCAACUUUGAGGCAAUGAUGGCUGAGGUGCAUGGUUGCUAGCUAAUUGCUUUCAUGUUUGAAUAAAGUUAAAAAAUGUAAUGUCA